rnacentral:tRNA from 1 species
GUUUCUGUAGUGUAGUGGUUAUCACAUUGGCCUCACACGCGAAAGGUCACUGGUUCGAAACCAGGCAGAAAUA